UACGUAGGUGGCAAGCGUUGUCCGGAAUUAUUGGGCGUAAGCGCGCGCAGGUGGUUCCUUAAGUCUGAUGUGAAAGCCCACGGCUCAACCGUGGAGGGUCAUUGGAAACUGGGGGACUUGAGUGCAGAAGAGGAAAGUGGAAUUCCAAGUGUAGCGGUGAAAUGCGGUAGAGAUUUGGAGGAACACCAGUGGCGAAGGCGACUUUCUGGUCUGUAACUGACACUGAGGCGCGAAAGCGUGGGGAGCAAACAGG
rnacentral:rRNA from 1 species